GCAGGCUGCAUGCUUAUGAUAAAUGAAGUUUCGUUGUCGACCGGAGCCUCUAUGAGUGUGGCGACGGCGGCGAAGUAUGCCUGCUACCCGACAAACAUGGAGCACGUCAUCUCCGAGCUUCUUAUCGGUGGAGGUGUACUGCCGAAGUUCCAGGGCUGUGAAAUGAAUUCCUCCCAUAGACGCUCCGACACAUUAACUCAGUCCAGAGUGUGUUAUCAGCGCUGUCACACUGGCUGCUUACCUGGGCAGUCAACCGACUAGCUCCAGCUGCUGGACAGUCAACCGACUUAACCAGUGCUAAUUAACUUAAUUGGUGCUUUCGUUGUGAGGCAACGGAUGACGUCCGUGCAAAUAUACCCGCCAAAAGAAGUAUUUUUUCAUGGGAAAAUGUUAACGGCAUCUCCGGUCCGAUGAUAUCAACGAACGUUUCCUUCCCUAAGGUGGAGUGGCAUCCCAUCCUCAUUGUUUGUGUGUGGUUGGUCUUUCUUGCACGUCUGCGGGGAGGCAAAGGCAAACUGCAGUCUGGCAUUUCAGAGGUGACGGGGGUCUCUGCAAAGAAAGCAAGAAAUAAUAAUAAGCACAGAAAUGUCACGCGAGAUCUCACACGGAAGCAUGGGAGCAUUGCAUUCUAUAAUCG